rnacentral:tRNA from 1 species
GGACCCGUAGCUCAGUUUGGUUAGAGCGCUUCCUUGACAUGGAAGAGGUCAGAGGUUCGAGUCCUCUCGGGUCCACCA